GGAGAACUACGAGGAGCCAGCCCUAGUACGAGAGGACUGGGCUGGGUCAACCUAUGGUGUACCGGUUGUUAUGCGAAUAGCAGCGCUGGGCAGCUAAGUUGGUAUGGAAGAACUGCUACACCGCAGGAAAUCCUUCUCUAUACAAGUUCUCGUAUGAGGUUUUUGAACUGAACUUCGAUAGGCGAGAGGUGUAAGCACCGCAAGGUGUGAAGCGAUCUCGUACUAAACGA
rnacentral:ncRNA from 1 species